rnacentral:rRNA from 1 species
GGGUUGUGAGGUUAAGCGACUAAGCGUACACGGUGGAUGCCCUGGCAGUCAGAGGCGAUGAAGGGCGUGCUAAUCUGCGAUAAGCGCCGGUAAGGUGAUAUGAACCGUUAUAACCGGCGAUACCCGAAUGGGGAAACCCAGUGUGAUUCGUCACACUAUCAUUACGUGAAUACAUAGCGUAAUGAAGCGAACCGGGGGAACUGAAACAUCUAAGUACCCCGAGGAAAAGAAAUCAACCGAGAUUCCCCCAGUAGCGGCGAGCGAACGGGGAGGAGCCCAGAGCCUGAAUCAGCAUGUGUGUUAGUGGAAGCGUCUGGAAAGGCGCGCGAUACAGGGUGACAGCCCCGUACACAAAAGCGCAUGUGUUGUGAGCUCGAUGAGUAGGGCGGGACACGUGGUAUCCUGUCUGAAUAUGGGGGGACCAUCCUCCAAGGCUAAAUACUCCUGACUGACCGAUAGUGAACCAGUACCGUGAGGGAAAGGCGAAAAGAACCCCGGCGAGGGGAGUGAAAAAGAACCUGAAACCGUGUACGUACAAGCAGUGGGAGCACCCUUUGGGGUGUGACUGCGUACCUUUUGUAUAAUGGGUCAGCGACUUAUAUUCUGUAGCAAGGUUAACCGAAUAGGGGAGCCGGAGGGAAACCGAGUCUUAAUUGGGCGUUAAGUUGCAG